GCUGUCGUCAGCUCGUGUCGUGAGAUGUUGGGUUAAGUCCCGUAACGAGCGCAACCCUUGUCCUUAGUUACCAGCACGUCAUGGUGGGCACUCUAAGGAGACUGCCGGUGACAAACCGGAGGAAGGUGGGGAUGACGUCAAGUCAUCAUGGCCCUUACGGCCUGGGCUACACACGUGCUACAAUGGUCGGUACAGAGGGUUGCCAAGCCGCGAGGUGGAGCUAAUCCCAUAAAACCGAUCGUAGUCCGGAUCGCAGUCUGCAACUCGACUGCGUGAAGUCGGAAUCGCUAGUAAUCGNG
rnacentral:rRNA from 1 species